CAAACUCGAGAUUUGCUUCUAAAGCAAGUCCACGCACUCCCUCGGUGUUGUACCUUUGGAUGCCAGUGUUUAUGUUUUGCUUGGGAUCGCAAAUAAAAGCAAAAAGCAGCCGGAGCGCUGACAGCUUCUCGGCACUUCAAACUACGGUUCAUCUCCUCUUCCGUCACCGACAAUGAGAUUUUAAGUUUAAUUAUUAAGUAACAACAUUAAAUCACGAUCUACGCCAUCCCCUUUCCAAUAACUUUUCUCUGUCCUUCUUUAGAGUUCAGAUAUUUCUCACUCAUAUACCUGUGCUUGUGACAGAAUGAGGGAAAGACUAACACUCCGCAGAGUUGUUUUUUAAUCGAUACAUAUUUCGUUAUUUUGCUUCAAUUAUUAUCGGCAUCAACAGGAAAUUCAUUUAUUAAUAAAUUGCAGUCGGGUUAUAGCGGAAAAUAGAAAUCGUUGGUAGGUUUCUUCGGUGUAAGGAAUCAUUGUUUGCGAGUGUUGAAGUCUCUCGUAUUCAGAACGAAAAGCUGGAAGUUUGACUCGGUAUUUUGGAAGAAUUACCGGCGACGCACUGUCUUGAACUUAAAAAAAAAAACCUUUAACUGUUGAAAAUGGCGGCGGGAAGGAGAAUGAGGAACAAUGAAAAAAAUAGUUUAAAAAAAAUCUUGCACGUUUGACUGCAAAGAAGUCUAUUUAGUUCUGAAUGGGUAAGUGAGAAAAAUAGUCGCCUCAGAGUUACCACAUUAAACGGCAAUUUUUCUUCAGAAGUUCAUAUCACGUAAACUUGUAUAUUUGGAAUCUACCAAAUGCAGACACCUUAAAAGGUCAGAUGAAUUUUUAAAAUAAUAACAUUGCACCAAUCCUCGAAACGGCCAGGUCCCUCAUUUAAUUUGCAAUAGUGGACAAGGGCUUCCACAUAACUGAACGCCAAGAAAACACGCGUUGAAACGGUCUAGAUAUAUAUGACACUUUUGUGUCAUUGUGGCGGCGGGGUUAUGGACGGGAUUGCUGGGGAGCGGAAAACGAGAACGGGCAAUUUCCCGUGAACAAAUAGGCCUUGGAUAAACGGACGUGGAACUGAACCUGUGUGAUGUGGCAAUAAGCUUUAAAAAAAAAAAAUCCGUUGGAAAGAGAUAUGAGCUGUUGCUGACUCGCCCACAAUGACCUGGAAUGACACAGGAAAUACACACUUAUUUCAUAAUCCUUUUCAGAUAUCAAAUCGUUUCUAGCGUGUUGUUUGUUUGAAACGAAUGCCUUCUCUCACAGAAAACGAAGACAAAGAGAAGGAGUGCCAGAGACAGAUUCUCUGCAAAUUAAUGAAGAACUGCCGACACGACUUAAAAGCAAAUUUCUGUCGGGUUGAGAAGUGUGUACAUCGUGUGUUGCACAGUACAGAGUUUAUCACAUCAGUCUUCCGUCACUAUGCUUUGUCUGAAUACCUCGCCUCUUUGCUAUAGUUAUUUAAUAUUUGAUUAAUACAAAUUAGCUGACAAAAUAAAAGUGCACUAAUAUCUGAUCAACAGAUCCCUUGAACACCAAGCUGCAUAAAUUAACAUGCAGGAAAAUGCUAGACCUUAUUAUGUGACGCGUGGCUAAAUGUGUGUGGAAAAUACUCCUUUCCAAAUGACGAAUCUAAAUCACUACUGUAUUCAAAUGUGCUCUGCAAAAUGUUACAGCCGUAAAUAACGUUUCAAGCUAUUUUUCUUAUCCAGAUACAAAAGCACUCUUGAUCAAUUGUACGAUAUCAGGCACAGCAUUGAUACCGACAGUACAGCGCAAUGGGAGAACUCGUCAACCAUGCAUUAAAAAACAAAUCUGUAUUAACCUUAGAACGCUUUUAUAUCGAGCGAAUUACCCAUUCACUAAAAUAACGCCACCACUUAGUUUCUGAUGUGUAUUCUUAAGAUUUAAAAUUGUGUUUCGGUUAUUAUAUUUAACGUACAAUAUAUUAAAAUAAAGUAUUAUUCAUUUUUGUCUCACAUUUGGUCCAUACUGGUAUAAUUGCCUGCUGUAAAAUUGAAAUAAAUACAGCUUAGUUUUAUUUUAAUAUUUUGUUCAAAUUAAAUGUAUUAAACAUAUUUCAUUUAUAACAUG